GGGAAAAGUGUGAAAAUUCAAGGAAACAAGUGAAAAAAGUUGUGAGCAUUCUGGCAAAAGUAAAGAGAUAGUACCCGAAGAUCAAGAAUCAGAGUACUUGGAACUCGAUUUCCAUUACAGCUCAAGAUAGUCGGUAAAUAGCUCAUUUCGUUGAGGG